GGGAGCAGGAGGUGAUGGUCGUUGGCACGUAGCAGAAGACUUUAUUCUACCGGGCUGAUCCAAUCAACAGCCGCGGCCAUUGAUUUCUCGGCCCCGCGCUUGCGUCGUCCGUCUCAGUUCAGAAACUCUUCGUCCCAGACGAUUCUUAUCGGCACCACGACGCAUAGGGUCCUUGUCACCUUUUAUCCAAUGCCGGGCACGAUGGACUUUUUGCCCGUUAAGCGAAUGCAACUGUUGCUGCGUUGGUCCAGUGAGCACAAGCAAAUCGAAUAGACGCUGAUCAGUUGCAACGAGACGAGGAAAGAACAAGGUGUGAGCCCCGACACCAGGUGUAAGGAAGAAACGUUGAUGCACACGAAAAAAAAACAAGUGAAAAAGUCGGAGAUGGUGCGCUGAUUGAGCACGUUCUUACGCUAUGCGGAUAAACGGAGAGAUGAGGCAAAUGAAGUCGGCCAUCAGUUGAGAAAGGAGACGAAACGACACGACCACCUUCUACGAGUCUGGUACCACGACUGAAUUCGGUAGAGCUCACCUGGCCAACCACCACACACUAUCAUCACUCUGCUCUCUGCUCUCUUUUAUCCUUUUCUUUGAAUCCUACCCUUUCCCCUUGCCAUCUUCUUCCCUUUUCUGCCUCCCCUCUAGCGCCUUGACAGUGUGCGUGACGCAGCAGCCUCACAGACAUCGACGUCUUGGGCGAAACUAUACUUUUACACAGACACUGUCUAUAUGUGUGUCCGCUGCCUAUAUGUUCCGCUUCGAUGUGUGAAAUGUAAGUGCUGCUGGGAAC